AGAAUGGCAGGCUUCAAGCACAAUGGCAACUAAGCAGAAGCAUUACUUAGACUAUCAACUGAUAUGUCAUCUGAAGACAGUUUUAUGUGGUAUAGAUAGAUUCAGUAAUUAUGUCACUGAGAGUCACUAAAUAUCGAUUCUCAUGUUAAACAGGAUCUGCUUCCCCUUUCAUUUUGGAGAGACUAAAACCUGUGAGAUUCUGCUCCACAUCCACUUUUCCAAGCUGAGAGAGAACUCUGUGCAUGGGUGUCUGUCCAGCUGUGGAAUUCUAGUUGUGGAUAGAAUUCCUGAUCCCUCUGUUCCAGCACACCUGUGUUCCAGCUGGGCUCUGGCUUCAUCCUUCCUCUGCCUGACCCACAGCUGGGCUGGCAGCAGUGCCAAAUACACAUUUAAGGGAGCCUCUAAUGAAUCCCCACUGAAAUUCCAUCAGCUGUGCAAAGUACAUUGAUUAAAUGCUACUUGCCACACAGGUAAAUGUUUUCUGGGGUGUGCAUUUGUUGGUAAGAAAAAUUGACUAGCAGGGUACCUGAAAUUCAUUCACAGCAUCUAUUCAUAGCACAUAGACACAUUCUGCAAUUAUAGUCACUAUUAAGGAAAAUCAACAAAAGGCUACAGCAUUAUCUGAGCUUCUCCAGCAAUUUCCUCUCACAAAUUAGGCAUGCCUUACUUUUUCUUUUGUUGUCCAAGGAAGUAUUAUUUGUAUAAUGUUCCACUGUGCUUUAAAUAGUUUUCCAGAGCAUUUCUCAGAUGAAUUAAAAAUAAAGUUACCUGCAAUUGAACUACUGUUAUUCCUUUGUUGCCUCAGAUUCUCAGUUUCAGAUGUGCCAGGGUUAAAAAAAGUCCUCUCUAACUCUCACAAAGCCCUCCAGGGAGUCCCUGUCACAUUUAAUCUUUCCCUGUCUCCCUGUUUCUCAGGGUGGCUUCUGAAUAACAGCAGUUUUGUCUAUUUUGUUUGCUCUUUCUCUUACACACACCCAGUUGAAGAAAAGUAAUUGAAACUAUGGCAUCUCACCUUGCAGUAUCUUGUGUAGUUUGAACCGAGAUGUGUCUAGAGAUCAAAUUUCUGCUUAUCAAGUGCAUAAAUGGGAUCCAAAGCCUGGAGACAUCACUGAACUCUGCAGGAGUUCACUUGCUGAGCAGGUGUUCAUGGCCCACCACAGGAAGAGAGAUUUGGGGUAGAAAUAGCUUUUCACCUCUACAAACUGAGGAGCUUUUUGCUGCAAUUUGCACCUCUGGACCUCCCAGUGACACCCAGGUUGCUCUGAAUGAGUCUGGCAGCGCGGGCUGAGCACAGCAGUGAGCCAUCAAACAGCUCCGUGUCUCCCGCCUGGCUUUUGCUGUGAAACGCAAACUGGUGAUGCUGCAGGAGCUCUGUGUUUGCUACACUUGAGCCACAGUGGCUGCAUCUCUUUCCAUGCCAUGGUGCACACACUUCUGACUCACCAUCAGAAAAUUCUUCCCAUUUCCUACACAACUGACCAUUUCCUUUCAGUUAUGCAAUUUAUUUUUUUUUUUUAAGUAGAAGCUUGAUUUUCUUUUUAUGUUAGUUUAUACAAAUAAAACAAUGGCCAGUGUUAAGCAACCUCCUUUAGAAAUGAAGCAGAAAUGGGCUGGUCAGGCCUCAUCAGACAAACAGUCUUCUUUUGAGAUAAACCACCCUAUUUCCCAGAAAUUGAAGUCUCAUGGAAAUCAUCCCUGCAUCUGGAAACAGCCAGGAUUCACUAAGCAUCUGGUCUGCCUUCCACAAAGGGGGAAUCUUUGCAUCAACAAUUGUCUAAUUUGAGGGUUUUUUUAUAAAACUGCUAUGUUGGAUGGAACAAUUUUGGACCUUGAGCAUUGUCAAAGAAUUCUGUUCCCUAAAUAUCUCCAGUGCAGAGCUGCUCUUGUUUGUAAUAGUGUGUGCUUACAUCCUCUCCUUGCUUUUCUAUUGACAGAGACAUUUAAAACCUUAAAGCUGAUUUUUUUUUUUAAAUUAAAUACUUACAUGUUAGGCUUCUGAAAGUCUCUUCUAGGGAUUUAUGCUUUAAGUUCAUUCUCAAAACCUCAUUCUUAUUAAACUAUAGUGAUAUUGGGAUAUUAAAACAUUAAUUCUGUGAGGAUUUUUACUACUCCCAUUUUCUUUCAGAACAUCACAAAUUAUCAUUUUGUUAUUAUGCUCUUGUGGAAACCUAUUCUUGGUGUGAAUGAUAAGACAGGUGUUUGUCAUUUUGAAGACUGGUAAAGGUAUUUUAAGGCAGUACUUAGCAGCAUAAAUUUAGUGUUCUCUAAUAAUCUACCUGAAAUGUUCAAGAAUAUUUUCUAUGCAAUUAUGAAAAUAGACUAGAAAAAUUAUACACAUUCUCAGGACUGGAUUACAUUUUUAUAUUUUAUCACAGAGUAGUUAAUUUCUGGCUCCUUCUUGCAGGACCUAACCCCAUUUGCUGGCUCUUUCCAGAGGCAGGACUUUGGUACAAAUGACACAGACAGGGCCCUCUCUCCCAUCAGCAAUGGAUUUGUGGCACUGAGAUGUCCAAGGGCAGCUGCUGGAUCUCACCCUGAGGAUUCCUGCUGAGCUUCUCUUGUGGAAGAGCUGGCAUAGACAGGAAGAAAAGCUGCUUUUAAGCUCUGCUCAGCAAAUCUUGCAGCUGCAUGAAAGGCCUGAGUCUGGUUACUGAGCAUUAUCGUCAACAUGGGUGUUUACAGCUCUCAGCAUCCCUCCUGAAAGAAUCUCACUAUGUUCCUCAGAAAAACAGAUUUGGAAGGUAUGAACAUCUGGAUGGAAAAACUGGAAGCUUGGCAUGAACUGGUAAGAGUGUGGAGCGUGGGCUGCAGCGCGCAGAGAUCUCACCUGCACCUCACUGGAGACACAGGCAGUGCCCGGAGUUUCAGAGAGAAAGGAGUUUGACUUUUGGUAUGGAUUUUCUAGAAAUACAAAUACACCACAGCAGGUGUACAAGUGUACAAGUGACUGUUGCCAAGUGACUGCACACAGAGCAGGAUGCAGACAAUCUGAAGAGAUGUCCAAGUUCUGUCCCAGAGGCACAACAGAUUUUGGGGUGCUGGCUACCAAUUGAGGAAUGCUACAGCUCAUGUUUAAGCUGAGCAGGCAGGAUACUUAUGGCAGUAUAAAUCUGAAAAUCCCAAUCCAGCUGUCUCUACUCUGUCCUGUGAAAUCCAUGCUGUGUGGGUGUCCUGCCUGCUCAGAUUCCAGGUGCAAACACCUGUACUGUGGAACAAAUGAUAUUCCAAAGCUCUCAUCAGGGCUCAGUGCAGGAAUGAGCUGCUAUCAGUGAGAGCCAGAACUCCAGAAUACACAGUAUCCCAUUCCUACACUCCAGACCAGGCUCACAGGAGAAGUCUGGGUGCCUUGAGAUCCUCUCUCCAGGAUUCUGGACCCUCUCCAUGAAACUGAGCACCUGAAAGCCCUGACUGAUCUGAAAGGAGAUCCUUCCCACCCAGAGCCCUUGCUUAAUGAAAUCAGCAUUCCAGUCAGCUCCAUCACUAGAAAAAGCAGCUGCAGUAUGCAGGGAACAUAUUCUGUUUUCCCAGCUCCAUGUGCUAGCAUUUUGCAAAUGAAAUUUUCUCUGACUUUUAGGCUUUAUGAAAUCUUGAAAUUAAAAUGAAAUAUAAUUGUCAGGAAAUGGAAAGUACUACUUUUUGGCCAGCUCUAUUUGUCCAUAUAAAACAUCCUAGAUGUCCCAAAGUGUCUUUCAUGCCAUCUUGAAUUAUAUCCUUUUUUUUUUUUUUUAUUGAGAUCUCCAAAGCCAGCUGCUUAGGGGUUUUCAAUGCCCAAAAUCCCACUCAUUAUUUCACUUGACACUCAGAUCCCUUGAGCAGCACUGAAAAAUUACUAAACCUUAAUAUCUGAGCGAGACUUCCAAACAACAGCUACAAUGAAGAAACUGGUCUUGGCACUAAAAACCAAUGAAUAUGUAAGACAAAUUGUAUCUGGAGAGAGCAAACACAUUAAAACAGCCUACCAGUAGCAUCUUUCAAAAGAUAUCUAAUGUAAGAUGCAUACUCUUCAAUAGCUCAAGGGGCUUAUAGUCAAUAAAUUUAACAGGUUGCAAAAAAAAAGUCAAAGCUAAAGUACAGUAUGUAAAUGGAAGCUGGAGUGCACUCUUCUUUUCAACCUUAGGACAGAGUUAAUAGAGGGGAAAUGACAAAAUACAUAAAAAGGAAUACACUGGAUUUGACAGAGUAUGUUUUUUUCUUUUAACUUCAAGGCAAACUACCAGACUAUUUUGGUUUACAGAUAAAUCAAACAAAGAACUUUUAUCAGUUUGCAUAAAAGUCUCAUUUUCAGCAAUGGAAAGAUUAGGCUUCAGAGCCUUAUUCUGUAUGUGUAUGAGGGGGAUUACAAGGGAAGUGGUGAAAGUAAUGACCUUGCCAGGGAUUAGCUUCCACAAUUGUAUGGUAAAAUAGUUGUGUUUUCUAUGCUUAUGGAUUAAGAUAUUCAUUGACAGUUUCUGCAAACUAGUGAAAUUCACAGACAUUUUCAGUGAUAGGGUGGUGACAGUAGCAGUAUCUGACAGCCUGACAUUACCCAUGGUGUUGUGAUGCUCAGGCCAGGGAGCUGGACCCUCAGCCUUGCCAGAUUUGUUUGCACUGGCUCAGUGUUUGUGUGACAAAAAGGGUUUCCUUUUGGAAUUCCCUUUAUUUUACAGUUGUAUGGUCAUGCUAAAUGCAAAUGUACUGGACCCAUUUGGUCCUUUUUGCUUUUCAAGAGCUACACCUGACUACUCCCAGCUGACCUAAGAGCACUUAGGGGUGGCCUUUUACUGAGUUACCCCACACACUGACAGCUACACUUGGUUAAGCUGUCAUAAAACUGAAGUAGCUGGACCAUUCCCACUGAGAUCCUCUUUCUUCAAUGUUUCUUAUUUUUUCUAAAAAAAAAAUAUUUUCUGUUUCUAAAAAACUCUUAGGAAGAAGAUAGGAACUACACAUAAGACAAGCCCAGUCUCUGCUCUGACUAAAUGGUGACUCUUUGGAUUGAAAGCUGCUGCUCUGAGGAAGGCAGAGCAGAAAAUGCUGGGGAGGCUCCUGAAGCCCAAGCCAAUAUAUCAAUACAGAAAACAACAGGCAGAAAGCCCCUCUGAGUGGCUCAAUGUUUCUGAAGACUCUCCAGCUAGCUUAAUCUUCCCAAGGAAGUUGAAAAUAAAUUCACCAGAAAUGGCUAGCUGCUUGUCU